CUUAGCCCUCGCUUCACUCGCUGGUAUUAAAUUUCAGUAGCAAUGCUUGCUUUUACUCCGCAGUCUCCAAGAUCCUCCCUUUGCCUCUCUUUCUCGGUGAAGAUGAUGGUACAGAGCAGGCAAGCGAAGGGAGGGAGACACUAGUGCCGUCUAAAAGAAAGUUACCGGGCAAUCGAGGUAGAGUAAGAAGAGAUUCUGCUCCUUACAGUGUAGAUAAGGAAAUUUAAAUAAAGGUGACGCCUUUGCGCGGAGAACAUCUGUAGGAGGCAAUGAACGCCGAGCCUGUGGCGCUUGGGCGCCGCCGGAGGCUUUCCGAUCUUCUGCUACUGGCGGUGGCUGCAGCGAUACUGUUUUUUUCGCCGUCUCUGCUCGCUCCGGUCGGCGCCUCCGUUUCCUACGACCGCAAGGCCCUCAUCAUCAAUGGUCAGCGGAGGAUUCUCAUCUCUGGUUCCAUUCAUUACCCCCGCAGCACUCCGGAGAUGUGGCCGGAUCUCAUACAGAAGGCCAAAGACGGCGGCUUGGAUGUCAUCCAGACCUAUGUGUUCUGGAACGGCCAUGAGCCUUCCCCUGGCCAGUAUUAUUUUGGAGGGAAUUAUGAUCUGGUUCGCUUUAUUAAGCUGGUGAAGCAGGCUGGUCUCUACGUUCAUCUUCGGAUAGGUCCUUAUGUUUGUGCAGAAUGGAACUUUGGGGGAUUUCCUAUCUGGCUAAAGUAUGUUCCUGGUAUCAGCUUCCGGACUAACAAUGGACCUUUCAAAGCUGCGAUGGAGAGUUUCACUGAAAAAAUUGUCUCCAUGAUGAAGUCUGAAGGAUUAUAUCAGUCUCAAGGUGGCCCGAUAAUCCUCUCACAGAUUGAAAAUGAAUAUGGUCCGUUGGAGGACUACUAUGGUGGCUCUGUCGCCAAGAAUUAUGCAACGUGGGCAGCUCAAAUGGCAGUUGGCCUUAACACCGGUGUGCCAUGGGUCAUGUGUAAACAAGAUGAUGCACCUGAUCCAGUAAUUAAUACUUGCAAUGGGUUCUACUGUGAUUAUUUCUCUCCAAACAAACCUUAUAAACCUAGUAUGUGGACUGAAGCUUGGACUGGCUGGUUCACCGCUUUUGGAGGUCCAGUUCCUCACCGGCCAGUUGAGGAUUUGGCUUUUGCUGUUGCAAGGUUUAUACAGAAAGGUGGAUCCUUUGUUAAUUACUACAUGUAUCAUGGAGGGACAAACUUUGGUCGGACAGCUGGUGGCCCAUUCAUAUCAACAAGCUAUGACUAUGAUGCUCCGAUAGAUGAAUAUGGUCUCUUGAGGCAACCAAAAUGGGGUCAUUUGAGAGAUCUUCAUAAAGCAAUUAAAAUGUCUGAGCCAGCCCUCAUAUCUGCAGAUCCAACAAUUUCAAAACUUGGAAAUUAUGAGCAGGCACACGUUUACAGAUCAAAAGCAGGUGCUUGUGCAGCAUUCCUUUCUAAUUAUAACCCAAGAUCAUCUGCAAGGGUUACUUUCAAUGGAGUGAGCUAUGACCUUCCAGCUUGGUCCAUCAGUAUACUUCCUGAUUGCAAAACUGCCGUAUUCAAUACCGCAAGGGUAGUAGCUCCGACAAUUCAGUACAAAAUGGCAUGGGUCGGCAAGUUUUCUUGGAAGUCCUUUAGUGAGCAGACCAACUCAUUGGAUGAUGAAUCGUUCACAAAAAAUGGACUAGUUGAGCAGCUAAGCAUGACACGGGACAAGUCUGACUACAUGUGGUACACUAUUACUGUUGACAUUAGCCCAAAUGAGCAAUUUUUGAAGAAUGGCCGGAACCCUUACCUCACCGUGAUGUCAGCUGGUCAUGCUAUGCAUGUUUUCGUCAAUGGAGAAAGAAUCGGCAUCGUCUAUGGUGGACUAGACAGUCCAAAGCUGACUUAUACAGGAAAUGUAAAGUUGUGGGCAGGAAGGAACAAGAUUUCCAUUUUAAGUGUAGCUGUUGGUCUGCCAAAUGUGGGUAACCACUUUGAGACAUGGAAUGCUGGUGUUCUUGGUCCGGUAACUCUAGAAGGACUAAACGAAGGAAAACGAGACCUUGGAUCACAAACAUGGACUUACCAGGUUGGCCUACAGGGUGAACAUUUAAAUCUUCACACACUUAAUGGAGCUUCUUCAGUUGAGUGGGGAGGUGCAUCCACAAGAAUGCCCAUGACUUGGCACAAGGCUUACUUCAAUGCUCCAGCAGGGAAUGACCCAUUGGCUUUAGAUAUGAGUAGCAUGGGUAAAGGUCAAAUAUGGAUAAAUGGGCAAAGUAUCGGUCGUUAUUGGCCUGCCUACAAAGCUUCCGGUUCUUGUGGUGAUUGUGAUUACCGUGGAACGUACAAUGAGAAAAAAUGCCAAACUAAUUGUGGGGAUUCUUCUCAAAAAUGGUAUCAUGUUCCUCGCUCCUGGCUAAAGCCAACUGGAAAUCUUCUGGUUGUUUUCGAAGAGAUGGGUGCGGACCCAUCUGGCAUAUCCAUGGUAAGAAGAACAGCUCAGUGAAAGAGCUUAUUGUUCAGGACAUCUAGAAAUAAUAACCAAGGUGAAGGAUUAAGUUAAAUAAAGAAGACAAGACAAUUGUUCUAGACAUCUACAAAUAUACUCCUGGUGAUCGAUGGAGAAGCAGGAACUGCAGCCAUUGAGAGCCCAGGAUUUUCCUGUUUAAGUUCAAGAAGAUGAACAUAGAGUAGUAUGUUCGACAUUGCUUGCCAAAAUGUAUAUGGAUUAUUGGAUGCAUCUUAACUCAAGGAUGCUGAAUACCUAUAAUUAUGUCAUUGCAAACCAUUCGUUUGCACCAUGUAAGUGGUCGGGUUAAUGCUUACAGAAAACAGUAUGGAUGAAUUAAACACUUGUUUCUAUAUUAUUCAAGCUUGUAAGACAUGUUUGAUCUACAGAAAAC